rnacentral:snRNA from 1 species
GGAUGUGAGGGCGAUCUGGUUGUGACAUCUGGUCACCCUGUUGAUCGCCAGGGUCGAUUUGGCUGAUCUGGCUGGCUAGGCAAGUGUCCCCUUCCUCCCUCACCGCUCCAUGUGCACCAUCCCUCCCGACUGGUCUUCGGUCGAGGGUAUAUGAGUAGCUGCGGUCCUCUGCUCGAACCUCAAACAAGCUCUCAAGGUCCAACGGCAAAGAAGCCAAGGUCAAAGAAAGAAGGUGUGUGCAUACCUAUGAUUCUUU